GACGAACGCUGGCGGCGUGCCUAAGACAUGCAAGUCGAACGGGACCUUCGGGUCUAGUGGCGAACGGCGGAGUAAUACAUAAGUAACUUGCCUCGAAGAUCGGGAUAGCCGCGGGAAACUGCGAGUAAUACCGGAUGUGACGAGUGGGGGGCAUCCCCUGCUCAUUAAAUGGUUUUUCGCUUCGAGAGCGGCUUAUGACACAUCAGCUAGUUGGUGGGGUAAAGGCCUACCAAGGCGACGACGUGUAGGGGGUCUGAGAGGAUGAUCCCCCCGAGUGGGACUGAGACACGGCCCACACACCUACGGGUGGCAGCAGUUGGGAAUCUUGCACAAUGGGGGAAACCCUGAUGCAGCGACGCCGCGUGGAGGAAGAAGGGUCUAGGCUCGUAAACUCCUUUUUCAGGGAAAGACUUAGGACGGUACCCUGAGAAUAAGCUCCGGCUAACUACGUG
rnacentral:rRNA from 1 species